AUACGUAGGAGGCAAGCGUUAUCCGGAUUUAUUGGGCGUAAAGCGCGUGCAGGUGGUUUGGUAAGUUGGGUAUGAAAUCUCCUGGCUUAACUAGGAGAGGUUGCUCAAAACUACCAGACUAGAGGACGAUAGAGGAAGGUGGAAUUCCCGGUGUAGUAGUGAAAUGCGUAGAUAUCGGGAGGAACACCAGUGGCGAAGGCGGCCUUCUGGGUCGUUCCUGACACUAAGACGCGAAAGCAUGGGUAGCAAACGGGAUUAGAAACCCCGGUAGUCCAUGCCGUAAACGAUGUGAACUUGAUGUCGGUGGCGUAAUAGUCAUCGGUGUCGUAGUUAACGCGAUAAGUUCACCGCCUGGGGAGUACGAUCGCAAGGUUAAA
rnacentral:rRNA from 1 species